rnacentral:lncRNA from 10 species
GAAACAUCAGGCCGGGCGCGGUGGCUCACGCCUGUAUGGGAGGCCGAGGCGGGUGGAUCACGAGGUCAGGAGAUCGAGACCACGGUGAAACCCCGUCUCUACUAAAAAUACAAAAAAAAUUAGCCGGGCGCGGUGGCGGGCGCCUGUAGCCCCAGCUACUCGGGAGGCUGAGCCAGGAGAAUGGCGUGAACCCGGGAGGCAGAGCUUGCAGUGAGCCGAGAUCGCUCCACGGCACUCCAGCUUGGGCAACAGAGCGAGACUCCAUCUUAAAAAAAAAAAAAAAAAGAAACAUCAGUGGAAGAGGAAGAAACUGUACAGGAAUAAACUUACGUGAUCCUCAUUUCAAGGAGAAGAAGGAGAAGUUGAAGAAGGAGGAGAAGGAGAAGGAUGAGAAGAAAAACAAGAAGAGGAAGGAGAAGGAGGAGGAAAAUGAGAAGGAGAAGAAGAGAAGGAACAGCAGCAGUUGCAGGAGGAGGAGAAAGAGGAGGAGGAGGAGGAGGGAGUGUGCAGAAGCUGGGGGGGAUUCCAAUGUUGGAAGCAUUUUUAGCGUACAACAACAUCCAAGUGGAUUACUAUGAAUGCCUAGACCUCUAUGGCAAACAGUACUUAUACUAUUAUGAAAUGGUCAAGAGAUGAAGCAGAGAGAAGGAGAAAGAGAG